ACAGAAAAGGAUCUAGUGUUAAAGAGUGAGAGACGGAGGGAGUCUUGGGAUAGAAGUAAUGCACAGUUUUCUGUAAGUGAGUUCAAUGGUGGGAUAGGAAAGGAGGGUACUAGUUUAGGAAGUUUUAUGGAUGACAUUGUUGAGAAGUUGGAGUCUUCUGGCACGAGGAUUUCAGCUUUCUCCGAAGGGGAGGAGGAUGAAGAAGUUGAAGAACUGGAUGAAGAGGACUGGCUUCGAGCAAGAUUAGAUCAACGGAGUGAUGACGAAUAUAAUACAGAUGACUCCAUGGUCAGCGACGAAGAGGAGGGGGACUACUUAUUGGACAGUGAGGACGAAGAUACAGGCGAGAUUUUAUGAAGUGAUGAUGAAAGCAAUAAGAGAAAGAACAGUUUGCCAUUGGUUUUAUCAAAAUAUUUGUACGAAUUGAUUGAGAUAGAGUGUGUGCUCUGUGAAAAUGAGGUUUAAUGAAA
rnacentral:misc_RNA from 1 species